rnacentral:tRNA from 4 species
GCCAAGGUGGCAGAGUGGCCUUACGCGGUCGCCUGCAGAGCGACUACACGCCGGUUCGAAUCCGGCCCUUGGCU